rnacentral:ncRNA from 1 species
AUAAAUGCGUUGAUUAGACAAGACCCUAUAAUUCAUGCAAAAGAGAAAUGGCGGUUGGUGCAAGCCAUGCAUUGGAUGUAGGAUAUACACCUAGGAGCGUUUACGCAUCUCUGCGUUAUGGAGUUAAGUGCAUAAGUUCUUACUUAUGAACUAAGGUGGUACCGCGUUUAUAACGUCCUUAGA